rnacentral:rRNA from 1 species
UACGUAGGGAGCAAGCGUUGUCCGGAAUCAUUGGGCGUAAAGCGCGCGUAGGUGGCUUCAUAAGUCCGUUGUGAAAGUCAAAGGCUCAACCUUUGAAAGCCGAUGGAUACUGUGGAGCUAGAGUACGGAAGAGGCGAGUGGAAUUCCUGGUGUAGCGGUGGAAUGCGCAGAUAUCAGGAGGAACACCAAUAGCGAAGGCAGCUCGCUGGGACGUUACUGACACUGAGGCGCGAAAGCGUGGGGAGCGAACAGG